AUUUGAGGGAUUAAAUGGCGACUGAAUAUUUAUUAAUGGAAAAUAUUAGAAGAUAUAGAUAUUUAUGAAAAUCAGGUUCAGGUGCUAAUAUUUUGAAUAGCAAGCAACUCAAAUUUAUUGAGGAUUAUUAUUGACUAAAAGAAAAUGUUGAAGAUAUUUGUAAGCAUUCUGAAGCUAGUUUCAGUUUGAAACUAUCUAAGGAUUCUAUUAACAUCCAAGAUGUGUUGAAUGAUCAAACAUCACCACAUUCACAGAAUGAUGAACCUAGUGCACAAUAUAUCUUGAAUGAUUUAGUUAAUACAUUUAGUCCUAUAGACAUGAAUAUGUCUGAGAAUGAAA